UACGGAGGGGGCUAGCGUUGUUCGGAAUUACUGGGCGUAAAGAGCGCGUAGGCGGUCUGACAAGUUGGGAGUGAAAUCCCGGGGCUUAACCUCGGAACUGCUUCCAAAACUGUUAGACUAGAGAGCGAUAGAGGAUGGUGGAAUUCCUAGUGUAGAGGUGAAAUUCUUAGAUAUUAGGAGGAACACCGGUGGCGAAGGCGGCCAUCUGGGUCGUUUCUGACGCUAAGGCGCGAAAGCGUGGGGAGCAAAC
rnacentral:rRNA from 1 species